UACAGAGGUCUCAAGCGUUGUUCGGAUUCAUUGGGCGUAAAGGGUGCGUAGGCGGCGCGGUAAGUCGGGUGUGAAAUCUCGGAGCUUAACUCCGAAACUGCAUUCGAUACUGCCGUGCUUGAGGACUGGAGAGGAGACUGGAAUUUACGGUGUAGCGGUGAAAUGCGUAGAUAUCGUAAGGAAGACCAGUGGCGAAGGCGGACUACCUGGCCGUGUUCUUGACGCUGGAGGCGCGAAAGACUAGGGGAGCAAACGGG
rnacentral:rRNA from 1 species